CUUUGCUCUUCUUAAAUGGGUGGUAGACUGUAGGUAACUGAUUAAAGUUUCUUUAAGAGUUCAGGGUAUGAAGAUUCCAGAGUCAGGAAGAAUCUACUAACUUUCCUGAUUUUUAUUGGCUCUGAGAUCUGAAGCCAGUUUUUUUGUUGUUGAGUAUACGGGAUUGUCAGGCAGAUCUGGCUGUGGAAAGGAGACUGUGGGCAGCAAGUUUAGAGGCGUGACUGAAAGUCUCGCUGCGACCUGAGCUGCUGAAUCAGCUUUCUGUUUACUGUGGGCAAUGGCUGUGUUUUCUUUUUGAUGUCCUUUGCAGUGGAUCACAGCUACCUGCUGAGCUCCUCCCACUGAAGAAUUGGAGUAUAUUUCUCCAGCCCCUAAUGUUGGGUUUAGUCAUGUGUCUAGCUUUGGCCACUGGAAUAUUAAUCUGCAUGACCAAAAACUUGGAAUGUAUGCAUUCAUUUGUGCUCACUCGCUCCUGCUAUCACCAUGAGAACAAGCCCAGGCCAGCCUGCUGCUUCCAGCAGAAGAUAAGAGACACCAAGAGCAAAGCAGAGUUUCCCAGACAUGCUCAUGCUAGAUUAACCAAUCCUCAGCUGACCCAUAGAUCCAUGAAAAUAAAUGACUGUUGUAUUAAGCCUGGGUGACAGAGUGAGACUCCAUUGCUUAAAAAAGAGAAAAAAUAUUUCCCAGAUAAGCAAAAGACUGUUUGUUUGUGUCUUGUUUGUUGUGGUCCUACAAAAAAUGCUUAAGGGAGUCCUACACUGGGAAGCAAAAGAACAAUAUCUACCAUCAUGAAAAUACAUGAAAGUAUAAAACUCAUGGUAGUGCAGACACACAAAGGAGAAAGGAUUCAAACGUCACCAUUAAAGAAAACCAC
rnacentral:lncRNA from 1 species